GGCUUGGGGGUAGGCUCCCAGGCGUCGAACGGGUAGCCGGCCUGAGAGGGUGACCGGCCACCUGGGACUGAGACACGGCCCAGACUCCUACGGGAGGCAGCAGUGGGGAAUAUUGCACAAUGGGCGCAAGCCUGAUGCAGCAACGCCGCGUGAGGGAUGACGGCCUUCGGGUUGUAAACCUCUUUUAGCAGGGAAGAAGCGAGAGUGACGGUACCUGCAGAAAAAGCACCGGCUAACUACGUGCCACAGCCCGCGGCCGAAUGCCCGGGGGGGG
rnacentral:rRNA from 1 species